UACGAAGGGGGCUAGCGUUGUUCGGAAUUACUGGGCGUAAAGCGCGUGUAGGCGGGUCUUUUAAGUCAGGGGUGAAAUGCCAGGGCUCAACCUUGGAACUGCCUUGCUAUGUGAAGACUUGAGUCCGGGAGAGGUGAGUGGAAUGUCGAGUGUAGAGGUGAAAUUCGUAGAUAUUCGCAAGAACACCAGUGGCGAAGGCGGCUCACUGGCCCGGUACUGACGCUGAGGUGCGAAAGCGUGGGGAGCAAACAGG
rnacentral:rRNA from 1 species